UUGCACCACAUGUGUUUUUCUUUGAAACAAACUUGCUUUGGCGGUGGGCCCAGCCUGCCGCCAGAGGUCUAAACUUACAACCAAUUUUUUAUCAACUUGUCACACCAGAUUAUUACUAAUAGUCAAAACUUUCAACAACGGAUCUCUUGGUUCUCGCAUCGAUGAAGAACGCAGCGAAAUGCGAUACGUAAUAUGAAUUGCAGAUAUUCGUGAAUCAUCGAAUCUUUGAACGCACAUUGCGCCCUCUGGUAUUCCGGAGGGCAUGCCUGUUUGAGCGUCGUUUCUCCCUCAAACCGCUGGGUUUGGUGUUGAGCAAUACGACUUGGGUUUGCUUGAAAGACGGUAGUGGUAAGGCGGGAUCGCUUUGACAAUGGCUUAGGUCUAACCAAAAACAUUGCUUGCGGCGGUAACGUCCACCACGUAUAUCUUCAAACUUUGACCUCAAAUCAGGUAGGACUACCCGCUGAACUUAAGCAUAUCAAUAAGCGGAGGAAAAGAAACCAACAGGGAUUGCCUCAGUAGCGGCGAGUGAAGCGGCAAAAGCUCAAAUUUGAAAUCUGGCGUCUUUGGCGUCCGAGUUGUAAUUUGAAGAAGGUAUCUUUGGGCCCGGCUCUUGUCUAUGUUCCUUGGAACAGGACGUCACAGAGGGUGAGAAUCCCGUGCGAUGAGAUGACCCGGGUCUGUGUAAAGUUCCUUCGACGAGUCGAGUUGUUUGGGAAUGCAGCUCUAAGUGGGUGGUAAAUUCCAUCUAAAGCU
rnacentral:rRNA from 1 species